rnacentral:rRNA from 1 species
AGACAGAGGGGGCAAGCGUUGCUCGGAAUUACUGGGCGUAAAGGGCUCGUAGGCGGCCAACUAAGUCAGACGUGAAAUCCCUCAGCUUAACUGGGGAACUGCGUCUGAUACUGGAUGGCUUGGAUUCGGGAGAGGGAUGCGGAAUUCCAGGUGUAGCGGUGAAAUGCGUAGAUAUCUGGAGGAACACCGGUGGCGAAGGCGGCAUCCUGGACCGAUAUUGACGCUGAGGAGCGAAAGCCAGGGGAGCAAACG